rnacentral:rRNA from 1 species
GCUACCACUUACAGAUGGACCCGCGGCGCAUUAGCUAGUUGGUGAGGUAACGGCUCACCAAGGCGACGAUGCGUAGCCGACCUGAGAGGGUGAUCGGCCACACUGGGACUGAGACACGGCCCAGACUCCUACGGGAGGCAGCAGUAGGGAAUCUUCCGCAAUGGACGAAAGUCUGACGGAGCAACGCCGCGUGAGUGAUGAAGGUUUUCGGAUCGUAAAGCUCUGUUGUUAGGGAAGAACAAGUGCCGUUCAAAUAGGGCGGCACCUUGACGGUACCUAACCAGAAAGCCACGGCUAACUACGUGCCAGCAGCCGCGGUAAUACGUAGGUGGCAAGCGUUGUCCGGAAUUAUUGGGCGUAAAGGGCUCGCAGGCGGUUUCUUAAGUCUGAUGUGAAAGCCCCCGGCUCAACCGGGGAGGGUCAUUGGAAACUGGGGAACUUGAGUGCAGAAGAGGAGAGUGGAAUUCCACGUGUAGCGGUGAAAUGCGUAGAGAUGUGGAGGAACACCAGUGGCGAAGGCGACUCUCUGGUCUGUAACUGACGCUGAGGAGCGAAAGCGUGGGGAGCGAACAGGAUUAGAUACCCUGGUAGUCCACGCCGUAAACGAUGAGUGCUAAGUGUUAGGGGGUUUCCGCCCCUUAGUGCUGCAGCUAACGCAUUAAGCACUCCGCCUGGGGAGUACGGUCGCAAGACUGAAACUCAAAGGAAUUGACGGGGGCCCGCACAAGCGGUGGAGCAUGUGGUUUAAUUCGAAGCAACGCGAAGAACCUUACCAGGUCUUGACAUCCUCUGACAAUCCUAGAGAUAGGACGUCCCCUUCGGGGGCAGAGUGACAGGUGGUGCAUGGUUGUCGUCAGCUCGUGUCGUGAGAUGUUGGGUUAAGUCCCGCAACGAGCGCAACCCUUGAUCUUAGUUGCCAGCAUUCAGUUGGGCACUCUAAGGUGACUGCCGGUGACAAACCGGAGGAAGGUGGGGAUGACGUCAAAUCAUCAUGCCCCUUAUGACCUGGGCUACACACGUG